rnacentral:rRNA from 1 species
AACGAACGCUGGCGGCAGGCCUAACACAUGCAAGUCGAGCGAGACCUUCGGGUCUAGCGGCGGACGGGUGAGUAACGCGUGGGAACGUGCCCUUUUCUGCGGAAUAGCCUCGGGAAACUGAGAGUAAUACCGCAUACGCCCUUUUGGGGAAAGAUUUAUCGGAGAAGGAUCGGCCCGCGUUGGAUUAGGUAGUUGGUGGGGUAAUGGCCUACCAAGCCGACGAUCCAUAGCUGGUUUGAGAGGAUGAUCAGCCACACUGGGACUGAGACACGGCCCAGACUCCUACGGGAGGCAGCAGUGGGGAAUCUUAGACAAUGGGGGCAACCCUGAUCUAGCCAUGCCGCGUGAGUGAUGAAGGCCUUAGGGUUGUAAAGCUCUUUCAGCUGGGAAGAUAAUGACGGUACCAGCAGAAGAAGCCCCGGCUAACUCCGUGCCAGCCGCCGCAGUAAGAC